GCUGGCGGUAGGCUUAACACAUGCAAGUCGUGCGAGAAAGUAUCUUCGGAUAUGAGUAAAGCGGCGGACGGGUGAGUAACGCGUAGGAAUCUACCUAGUAGAAGGGGAUAGCCCGGGGAAACUCGGAUUAAUACCGUAUACCUCCUUUGGGAGAAAGAGGGCCUCUCUUUGAAGCUUUCGCUAUUAGAUGAGCCUGCGUAAGAUUAGCUUGUUGGUGAGGUAAAGGCUCACCAAGGCGACGAUCUUUAGCGGGUCUGAGAGGACGAUCC
rnacentral:rRNA from 1 species